ACAAACCGGAGGAAGGUGGGGAUGACCGUCAAGUCCAUCAUGGCCCUUACGGCCUGGGCUACACACGUGCUACAAUGGUCGGUACAAAGGGUUGGCCAAGCCGCGAGGUGGAGCUAAUCCCAUAAAACCGAUCGUAGUCCGGAUCGCAGUCUGCAACUCGACUGCGUGAAGUCGGAAUCGCUAGUAAUCGUGAAUCAGAAUGUCACGGUGAAUACGUUCCCGGGCCUU
rnacentral:rRNA from 1 species